ACUAGUUCACCAAAGACAUAAGAAUAGUGUAGCAGAGCACCCGAGUCAAGGAUUUCCAUAUGGCUCUCUUUGACAGAGCUCCAUUAGCAAAGAAAACAUAGCCAUCAUACAUUUUAUCCUUUCCUUUUCCAAUAUCAGCAAUCUUGAAACUGGCAUCAUUGACCUCAGCAGCAGGAGGCACAGCCUCAGUAGCCUGUGGGUUCAUAGCCAACAAAGGCUGAUCACCAGAAAAGAAUGAAACAAUUAAGCUCUGUGGCCAUUGAGACAGGAUCCUCAAUAUCAGCAUAAGCAUCAUAAGAAAAGUCCGGGAACUUACAUUUGAGUGAUCUUUUAGGAGGUGGACCAUCAACCACUUCCCCAUGCCCAUGUUAGGCAGAAGUUCCACCCCUUAGUUUGAAAUCACCAUGCUCAUAUCACGGUCGAUUGAAAAAUCAUUUAAUAUAAAAACUUUCUAUAAAAUUGAUAUUAAAUUAAAAAAAUAAAUUAUACAUCACCCUAAAAAUAAUCAAAAUCCAAAACACAAAUGAGUUGUAUAUAGAUUUACAAG
rnacentral:lncRNA from 1 species